AUUGAACGCUGGCGGCAGGCCUAACACAUGCAAGUCGAACGAGUGGCGGACGGGUGAGGAAUGUCUGGGAAACUGCCCGAUGGAGGGGGAUAACUACUGGAAACGGUAGCUAAUACCGCAUACCAUCGAAUGUGCCCAGAUGGGAUUAGAUUGUAGGUGGGGUAACGGCUCACAUAGGCGACGCUCCCUAGCGGGUCUGAGAUGAGUACCAGCCACACUGGAACUGAGACACGGUCCAGACUCCGACGGGAGGCAGCAGGUGGGAAUAUUGGAAAAUGGGCGCAAGCCUGAUGCAGCAAUGCCGCGUGGAUGAAGAAGGCCUUCGGGUUGUAUAGUACUUUCAGCGGGGAUGCGUUACCCGCAGAAGAAGCACCGGCUAACUCCGUGCCAGCAGCCGCGGUAAUUC
rnacentral:rRNA from 1 species